UUUCGAAAGAAAGAUUAAUACCCGAUAGUAUGUUUUUACCGCAUGGUAAUUCCAUUAAAGUUUUUCGGUGAUUGAUGGGGAUGCGUUUCAUUAGAUUGUUGGUGAGGUAACGGCUCACCAAGUCUUCGAUGAAUAGGGGUUCUGAGAGAAAGGUCCCCCACACUGGUACUGAGACACGGACCAGACUCCUACGGGAGGCAGCAGUGAGGAAUAUUGGUCAAUGGGCGUUAGCUUGAACCAGCCAAGUAGCGUGAAGGAUGACUGCCCUAUGGGUUGUAAACUUCUUUUAUAUAGGAAUAAAGUGUACCACGUGUGGUAUUUUGUAUGUACUAUAUGAAUAAGGAUCGGCUAACUCCGUGCCAGCAGCCGCGGUAAUACGGAGGAUCCGAGCGUUAUCCGGAUUUAUGGGGUUUAAAGGGUGCGUAGGCGGGCUAUUAAGUCAGCUGUGAAAGUUUGAGGCUCAACCUUAAAAUUGCAGUUGAUACUGGUAGUCUUGAGUAUAGUAGAGGUUGGCGGAAUUCGUGGUGUAGCGGUGAAAUGCUUAGAUAUCACGAAGAACUCCUAUUGCGAAGGCAGCUGACUAUGCUAUAACUGACGCUGAUGCACGAAAGUGUGGGUAUCAAACAGGAUUAGAUACCCUGGUAGUCCACACAGUAAACGAUGAAUACUCGUUGUUUGCGAUAUACUGCAAGCGACCAAGCGAAAGCAUUAAGUAUUCCACCUGGGGAGUACGCCGGCAACGGUG
rnacentral:rRNA from 1 species